UAAGGUUGUCGAAAAUUCCUAAUCUAAUAGCUAGCUCAAGAAAAUUCCUAAUCUAAUAGCUAGCUCAAGUAAGGUGAACUCAUUGGUGCAGAUAUUGCUAAAUGAUCAAACUACUGAUGUGUUGUGAAAUGUCAACUGAUUAUCACUCGGAAACACCUCAUUUAACAAGUAUCCAGCUUAAGGCUAGAGUAAUGGACAUGAAUAGAGCUAAGUUUGCUAGACAGUGAAGUCUUGUUGGUAAUAAGCAGCUGCUAACUUGUUGGAAGAUUCUGAAGUUGGUUUGUUAAGUUUGUCAAAGGAAUAUCCACAGGUUGAACUUUCUUUUUGCUUAGUGUUGAAAUUUUCAG